rnacentral:rRNA from 1 species
UACAGAGGGUGCGAGCGUUGUUCGGAAUUACUGGGCGUAAAGCGCGCGCAGGCGGCCUUUUAAGUCUGGCGGUGAAAUGCCGGGGCUCAACCCCGAGCGUGCCGCGGAUACUGGGAGGCUGGAGACGAGUAGAGGCAAGCGGAAUUCCGGGUGUAGCGGUGGAAUGCGUAGAGAAUCCGGAAGAACACCAGUGGCGAAGGCGGCUUCCUGGCCUGUUCUUGACGCUGAGGCGCGAAAGGCUAGGGGAGCAAACGGG